rnacentral:rRNA from 1 species
AAUGAACGCUGGCNGNNUNUUAAACAUGCAAGUCGAACGGUAGCAGGAAGUACUUGUACUUUGCUGACGAGUGGCGCACGGGUGAGUAAUAUAUAGGUUACGUGCCUCUUAGUCUGGGAUAGCCACUGGAAACGGUGAUUAAUACUGGAUAUUCCUCUUCGGAGGGAAAGGUUUUUCGCUAAGAGAUCGGCCUAUACUGUAUCAGCUAGUUGGUGAGGUAAGAGCUCACCAAGGCGAUGACACAUAGCGGGUUUGANAGGAUGAUCCGNCACACUGGUACUGAGACNCGGACCAGACUCCUACGGGAGGCAGCAGUGAGGAAUAUUGCACAAUGGGGGAAACCCUGAUGCAGCAACGCCGCGUGGAGGAUGACGCAUUUCGGUGUGUAAACUCCUUUUAUCAGAGAAGAACAUGACGGUAUCUGAUGAAUAAGCUCCGGCUAACUCCGUGCCAGCAGCCGCGGUAAUACGGAGGGAGCAAGCGUUAUUCGGAAUCACUGGGCGUAAAGGACGCGUAGGCGGGUUUUUAAGUCAGAUGUGAAAUCCUAUGGCUCAACCAUAGAACUGCCAUCUUGAAACUGGGAACCUAGAGUAUGGAAGGGGAAGAUGGAAUUAGUGGUGUAGGGGUAAAAUCCGUAGAUAUCNCUAGGAAUACCCAAAGCCGCAAGGCGAUCUUCUGGGNCAUUACUGACGCUGAGGCGUGAAAGCGUGGGGAGCNAACAGGANUNGAUACCUGGUAGUCCACGCCCUAAACNAUGAAUGCUANUCGUCGGAGAG